AUUGAACGCUGGCGGCAUGCUUUACACAUGCAAGUCGAACGGCAGCGCGGGGCAACCUGGCGGCGAGUGGGGAACGGGUGAGUAAUACAUCGGAACGUACCCAGAAGUGGGGGAUAACGUAGCGAAAGUUACGCUAAUACCGCAUACGUUCUACGGAAGAAAGUGGGGGAUCUUCGGACCUCAUGCUUUUGGAGCGGCCGAUGUCUGAUUAGCUAGUUGGUGAGGUAAAGGCUCACCAAGGCGACGAUCAGUAGCUGGUCUGAGAGGACGACCAGCCACACUGGGACUGAGACACGGCCCAGACUCCUACGGGAGGCAGCAGUGGGGAAUUUUGGACAAUGGGCGCAAGCCUGAUCCAGCAAUGCCGCGUGAGUGAAGGAGGCCUUCGGGUUGUAAAGCUCUUUUGUCAGGGAAGAAACGGCUCAGGCUAAUAGCUUGGGCUAAUGACGGUACCUGAAGAAUAAGCACCGGCUAACUACGUGCCAGCCGCCGCAGUAAAAC
rnacentral:rRNA from 1 species